rnacentral:rRNA from 1 species
UACGAAGGGGGCGAGCGUUGUUCGGAUUUACUGGGCGUAAAGGGCGCGUAGGCGGUUCGCUAAGUUGGAUGUGAAAACUCUGGGCUCAACCCAGAGCCUGCAUCCAAAACUGGCGGGCUAGAGUUCUGGAGGGGGUAGCGGAAUUCCUGGUGUAGCGGUGAAAUGCGUAGAUAUCAGGAGGAACACCGGUGGCGAAGGCGGCUACCUGGACAGAAACUGACGCUGAGGCGCGAAAGCUAGGGGAGCAAACAGG